rnacentral:rRNA from 1 species
AACGAACGCUGGCGGCAUGCCUAACACAUGCAAGUCGAACGGGAUCCUAGCUUGCUAGGUGAGAGUGGCGGACGGGUGAGUAACACGUGGGAAUCUGCCUUUUGGUUCGGAUAACCGCGGAAACUGCGGCUAAUACCGAAUGCCCUCGAGAGAGGAAAGAUUUAUCGCCAGAAGAGGAGCCCGCGUCCGAUUAGGUAGUUGGUGGGGUAAAGGCCUACAAGCCGACGAUCGGUAGCUGGUCUGAGAGGAUGAUCAGCCACACUGGGACUGAGAUACGGCCCAGACUCCUACGGGAGGCAGCAGUGGGGAA